CCUAAUUGAUGUUUGUUUCUUGGGAAUUUGGUUUUCACAGUAGGCUUGUGUUCUGAAAGUGAAUAUACAGUGUCACUUCUUUGUGUCUAUUGAAAUGAGUUUAUAUGGUGUGUACAUGAAUGAUUAUCUUGAAUAAGUUGUAACCCUUACUCAUCCUUUUCCAUCUUUUUUGGCAUUUAUACAAAAAAUGCAAAAAAACAAAAUUAUAGUACAAGUUAUGACUAAAAAAUAAAAUGAAUGAAGACCAACUCAGGCAAAAUGUGAGUGCAUUGAGACAUCUAACAACCAUAAUGAAGAGCAAGCUAGUCUGUUAAGUUUAUAAUACUAUAAGCAAGAGAUGUGUGCUCCACUGAUUCGUGCAACCCCAAUCAGACACAGCAAGUGCCACAGACAAACACCACCACACAGCAAAUGUCUGUUCGAGUUAAAUGAUAGAAGAGGAACAUUGGUUUUUUUUUUAAGGUAAGCCAACACCCAAAAAACAAAUAAUUGGAUAAAACUUCUAUUGACGUAAUUCUUUUUCAAUUACAAUAAUUAUAGGACGUUCAUACAAAUAAAUCCCCUAAAUCAUGUAAUCACUGUUUCCUGCAAGUACCAACCCGCUUGAUUUUUUUUGUGAAAAAAUCAGUAUUAUCCAUACAAACAAAUCAAAUUGGUAAUGGCAAAGAUUAAAAGUAAACCCAGUAAACCCAUACCCAACCCAAGACAAACAAAUUGAGGGGAAAAAAAGAGAGAAAACCCAAGCAUCUGACUGAGCCGUUGAUGGUCAAGUACAAAAGAGAGAAAACACAAAUCGACGGGAAACUCACCAAAUCAGUCCACGGUCGGCGGCGAAACUCACCAAAUCGACGGGAAAGAGGUUGAUGGUCGACGGUCGGCGGUCGGAGGUCGACGAGAAAAAGAUUGACGAUCGACGUGAAAGAGAAAGAGAGGCCAGGGGGAGGAAUCGGGAUUCGAGAGAGAGAAUAGGGGUUCGGGGGGAAUCAGGUUCGGGAGAGGAGAUUGCAGAAUGUAGAGAACGGGAUGAAUGAAGGGUUCAGUGAAAUCGAUUGAUGGGGUUGGGCUGCUGCCUGGCUGGGUUGGGUUAACAUGUUUAAACCGGUUUUUCGGUUUUUCGGUUUGAUCGGUUAUUUAACAUGUUUAAACCGAACCGAACCGAAAACCGAAUAAUUUUAAAUAUAUAAACCGAACCAAACCGAUCAUACCGAUUAACCGAACCGAAAAACCGAAAUUAAUCGGUUCGGUUCGGUUUUUCGGUUUAAACCGAAAACUGCACAGGCCUAUUGAUGAGAUCCCACAGAGGGGUCAAGUUUAUGAUUAUGUUUAUGUUGAGUGCAUGCACAGGUUGAGUUUGGUGUAUGAGGAAUGAAUGAAAGAAAAGUUUUAAUUUUUAUGUAUGUUGUUGAUCAUGUAUGGGAUUAAACAGGUUUACAGGUUACAUGUCAGGCUUGCUACGGGUCCCGGCGGCUUUAAGCCGAUCUGGAUCCUAGCGCCGGUAGCGGUCCGAUUUUCGGAUCGUUACACACACUGUCAUUCUUAUUUCUAAAACAAUCUUAAAUACUUUUUGCUAAAAAUAUUUACUCAGCUCAUUUAUUAAGCUCAUUCAAUAUCGCUCAUUCUUAAAUAUGUCAGACUCAAUAUUAACACUUGUGUUUAAAUCUUAGACUCAUAUGAAUCUACUAGUUAUCAC
rnacentral:lncRNA from 1 species